CCCGCAGGCCUGCUCGGGCUGCUGGGGCCGGGACGGAGUCUUGGAACCCAGAUGGGUGCGGGGAGAACAGUGAGAAGUGCUCAGACCAGGGAUGGAAUGGUAGGAUGCCACCAGUCAAUGAUAGGUAGACAGUGACGCCUGGAGGCCCUGCUGCCAUGAACACCAAGCUCAGGGACCUCCCAAGGGGGUCCCUUUCCUCCUAAGGGACUGUAGUCACAGGAGCCACAUCCUGGCAGGUCAGCACCCACCACGUGCUGCCCCCUCCCCCUUCCUGCAGCUGUGGUGCAGAAUCUAAUACCAAUAACUGGGUGCCGUGGACACACACGCACACGCACGCAUACACACACAGACACACAUGUACGUGGCUUUAUUUGACAAUCGGCUACUUUCCCUUGAGCAGAACAAGCCAGCAGUGUUGAACUGGGGGGGGGUGGAUCUAGAAAACCUGGGCUAGUGGAAAAAAGUGUUCCACGAAGUUUAAGAUCAGCUGCCCCGGAGGGGCUUCGUGGAGACCGACUCCCGGGAGAACAUGAGCUGAUGCGAUGGCCAACCUGGGCGUCUUGCCCAGCCAGAGGAAAGGGAGGGGAAAGGAGCUUCAGGCGGGUGGAAAAACCCCUGCGGGGAGGGGGCGCUUGGGCACCAAGGUGUCCAGGAGAGCAAGUCUGCAGAGGCCAGAGACGGUUUAACACCUUCACGAAAUAGCUCCGCUUCCUAACACGGAACAUUUGCCGAGAGGGCCCCUUUUCUCCUCCGGGAGGCCUGGCUCACAGGACUGGACACAAAAGCAGGUAGAAUGUCCCUUUCAGUCCGCAGAGUGCCCCCUCCCUGUCCCACUGGUGGGUAUUUUCCAUGGAAUUGCGGCUCCCGGUCUCUCCCGGCACCGGCUGGGGUUUUCUUCUCCAUGGUUGUUCGGAGCCGCGGGCCGGCAGCAGGGCGGUGGGUUCUGCUGGCUGCGUGCGAGCGGAUGCUGGCCAGGCCCUGUUUAUCCUGGCUCCAGGGCCGGCUGAAAACGCAGACCCGAGCCAAGGCCGGGAACGUGGCAGGAACAGGGGGUGGGGUGCCAAGCAAGGGGACAGGCCCCAGGGUGUAACGUGUCACCUGAGAAAGCUUGGGCCGAGGCCAGAAGGCACCCAGUGGUCCUCACCUGCCUUCUGCCCCUGGGUUGGUCAAAUAACUCUAAACCAGGUAUAGAAUAUUGGUUAGAGGUUGGCAAAGCUGGGUUCAAAUCCAAUCUCUGCCGCUUAUUGGCUUGGGCAGGUUAUUCGCCUCUCUGAGCCUCAGUUUUCUCAUCCCUAAAGUGGGAAUUUUGCCGAUACUGAGAUGAUAUCUCCGAAGGGCCUGGUGCAGUGUCUGGCAGAGAGAAGAUGCUCACUGGGUGUUUGUUUCCUUCCUGCUGGCUUCAUGUCCUCAGGGAACAUGCUCUCUGGGGUGGGGUUGGGGGUGACGGGGGAGUCUGGGUGGCAGAGCUGGGGCCAUGGGAACACUAACUCCUCAUCCUAAACCAGGAAUCAGCGAACCUGUUCUGUGAAGGGCUUUGUGGGCCACGUGGUCUCUGUGGAAGCAGCUCACCUUUGCUGUUCUAGCACGAGCAGCCACAAACAAUACACAACAUGAAUGAGUAUGGUUGUGUUCCGGUAAAACUUCAUAGACACUGACAUUUGAAUUUUACACAACUUUCACAGGUCCUGAAAUGUCAUUCUUGUUUUGAUUCUUUUCCAACCACUUAAAAGUGCAGAGACACUCUUAGACGUAUGGACUGUACCCAAAAAGGCGGUAGGCCAGAUUUGGCCCGUGGACUGUGGCUUGCCAGCGUGGCCCCAAGACCACCAUCGGGCUAGCAAGCAACAUCACUCUCUCAAGUCCUAAGAAGGCAAUGAAGCAGUCUGAGAAAAGUGGAAUCUGCUUUCCUUUGCUCUUUCUGGAAAUAAAUUCGCAGAGACUGACCCAAGUUUUAAUAGCCAUUGUAUGAAGUAAAGGGAUCACUUAGAGACUAGAUUUCACUGAGAGGUUAAAAAACCAGACCCGGCAGUCUAGUGAGGGAUUUAAGUCAUCCCAGGGAGCUAACAUGCAUCGAGUGCUUACCACAUCCCGGGUACUUUUCUAGCUCCUUCCAGGUGAUCUCUCAUUUAGUCCUAACAGAUGAGGACAGAGACCCCCAAAUGUUCAGUAACUUGCCCAAGGCUACUGCUUGUAACCUGGCCUUACAGGCCCCUCCCAGGGUCUGUGAAGUCUCUGCCAUUUUUAUGAAGGCUCUGGAAGACGGCAAGCAAAGCCCGGUCCCUGCCUUCAGGCGGGAAGACAGACCCGAGUCUCCCUGGCUGUGCACGUGCGCCCUGGUGCUCGGCCGCCUGCUUCCUCUGCUGCACGCGGCCCGCCUCUCAGUGGGCAGAGAGCAAAGGGGCUGCCGGCCAGCCGUGGCAGCAGCUCGGUUGUUGAAAGGCUGUGUUUGGUCAGUUAUUUUACUGUCUUAUUGCAUGUUGUCCUAGUCAGUUUGUAAAAACAGGUAGAAAACAGACAAAUGGAAGUGCAUAUGUUUGCAAUAUGAAGAUUGUGUCUCAAACUUGAGAAACUUAAUAAUUGUCAUUAUUUUACCUUUUACUGAGCACCUACUAGGUUACCAGGUCCAGCGCAUCACAUGGAUCAACUCACUUUGGGGGCACUGUCGCUGUCCCCACUUAACAGAUGAGGAAACUGAGCCCCGGAGAGGAGGGGUAAUUUGUCCAAAUCACGCAGUUGCUGGACACAGAUGGAACAGUCAGAUCCUCCGGAUCUUGUGACUCUGCGGCCUCGGAACGCCCGAGCGCCCACGCACAGAAAAAAGACAGGAAGGAAACCCAGAACCUGAAAAGUGGCUCUCUGUGGAUGAUAGCGGGACCCAUGAUUUUUAUCUUCUUUUAAUGUCUGCUUACAUAUUCCUGGUGUUUUAUGAUGAGUUUCUGUUAAGAAAUAUCCACUACAUGACCUUUUUGUAAAAGCAAGCUUGUGUCAGUCGGCAGGAUACCGGAGCCCUGGUGCGAGGCCACGAAGCCCCUGACCACAGGCCUCUGAAAACCCUGCUAAAAAGUAAGACAGAGCGGGGAGCCAGGACCUCUGCUUCUUGGAACUGCCUAAUCCAUCCUAUAAUACCUUGCUUUGUAGGAAAGUUCUGUGCAUAAAUCCCAUAAAAUCCCAUAAUGUGGAGCUGACACUGAGCCUACCCAGAACAAAAUCUGCUAAUGAUCACUGCUUGCCAAGAGCCUGCAGAAAACGAUCGGACGUGUUGCAACCCCCAUGCCUGCCUCCUGCCUAAGCCCUUUCUAAUAAGGACUCUUUUCAUGAGUUUAUAAAAACACUUUGUUCAGA